UGAAACGCAAUGACUGUUUUUAAAUUCUUGAGGGACUCUUGCUCCAAGGGAAAUCUCAGCAGCGAUGUCUCUGCUGUGCGUCAGAGUAAACCUCCUCUCAUCAUGGGUGUGAUUCAGCCUGAAGCUGGAGAGGCCAGUAGCAACCAGCCCGACCACUUUAUUACUACUUGGGGAUGGAUAGUAUCUCUAGAGGCUCCAUCCUGUCCAGACUGAGGCUCCAUCCUGUCCAGACUGAGGCUCCAUCCUGUCCAGACUGAGGCUCCAUCCUGUCCAGACUGAGGCUCCAUCCUGUCCAGACUGAGGCUCCAUCCUGUCCAGACUGAGGCUCCAUCCUGUCCAGACUGAGGCUCCAUCCUGUCCAGACUGAAGCUCCAUCCUGUCCAGACUGAGGCUCCAUCCUGUCCAGACUGAGGCUCCAUCCUGUCCAGACUGAGGCUCCAUCCUGUCCAGACUGAGGCUCCAUCCUGUCCAGACUAAAACUCCAUCCUGUCCAUCCUCAUUCAGGCAAAUGAGAAACUGGUGUUUCACAGCGAGCAGAUCAGACUUUUCUUUCCAUCUUGUACCCCCCCCCUGAGAUCUCAGUCAGGAAGUAAAGGAAGUGCUUUUCUUUUCCCUGGCAGAUCCAUCUCAUCUCAAUGAGGUUCUACUUGUCUGACAACUUUCUUUUCCUUCUUGGCUAUAAACAUGUAUUUAUCCUCAUUAAAAUCCCUUUUUCCCCUGGUUA